AUUAUAUGUAAUUAUUUGCAGGCAAGUUGGUUUUUCACAUUUUUAAACACAUUUUAAUCUAAAAAUAAUGCUUAUUAAGUGAACUAUUAGAAAAUGUAUGUAUGUAUAUAAAGUAUUAUUUUUGUGUCGACAUUAUAUUGUUUUUUUAGGGCUAGCUUAUGUUUACCGAUAAAAAUGUUAAUGAUUUUUCGAAUAUUUUCAAAGCAAAGGAUUCAAGCUACGAACUUAAAAUUGUUGAUUAUAUUUUUGUAAAUAUAAUUUUUUAUUCCAAUUCUGCAAAUAUAAUAAAAAUAAGUAUUUGUGCCAGACAGGUAAAACAUACAAUUAUUAAAAUAUGGUGUAUAUAUUUUGUUUAUAUUUAUUCAACUAUUUUUUUUUUACUACAGUUGGGCAACUCUGAGAGCAAGAGCAACAAUUAGAGCCGGCCGGCUAGCCAGAGGAAAAAAAGGCAGCCAAGCAUUAAGCAUUAAGCAGCGACUGCAAAAGCAACUGCAAAUGCAACUGCGUUUGGAGAUUGCAGUUUGAACUGGUUUUCACCUGAGCUUGUAAACUCGGUUUGGAAGAAGAAGAAGAAGAUCGCCUUGGCGACCGGAAUACACCAAUGAGCAUAUUUAUUGACAUUGGCAUGCAAUUUAAAUGGCCGCGACAGUUGAGCAUUGAGCAAAUGCCAAACCGUUGGGCGAAAGUCGACAGCAGCGGUCACAACAAUAGACUGUGACUUGGAAUCAAGUGCCAUUACCGCAUCGAAAGCAAAAAAAGGGAAAGAAGAAAGCGACGUGGAAACAAGGAAGAAAAUAGAACAUUGAGCUGAUUACAUUAAUUUAAAGCACAAAUGAAUUGCUCGACGAAACGAAAGCGAAGAAGAAGAUGAUGAAGAAAAAAACUGAAAAACGUGGAUGCGAAAUAAAUAAAAAGUAAAGUAUUAAAAAGUGAGCAACAAUCAAAUACAAUAGCUGGCGGAGAUCAUAUUAAGGAGGGUUUCGAUGAUUUGGGAUGCCUACACGGGUAAAAAAAAACGUGUGGAAAAUCACGCACAUCGUCUCCGAGAAAAAUGUGGGGGACGAAAAGAAAGCCGAAAAGGGGGUGGUGGUUGGGUGGUUGUGUGGUCUGGUACAAUAACAAUAAGUGGGUGGUUCAUGCGGUUAGGUCAGAUUGAGGAGUAGGCCUGACGAUGCCAACGAGUCAACAAAAGAAAUUGCUAAUGUGGGCAAAUAAAAAUGGAACAAAACAAAUACAACCACACACACUCACACACACUAAGGCAGCCCAGCACACACUCACACACACACAUUCCCAGUCAGUAUUAGACAAUUGAAAUUGAAAAUCAGUGAAACCUGUUUUCACACACAAAAGCUCACGCACGGCAAGCUUAGGCGCACAAAAUUGCAAAAAAAAAAAAUAAAAAAAAAGAAAUAAAAAAAAACGAAAUGAGAAAAUGGCAAAUAGAAAAUGGAAAACAAAAGAGGAAAAACCAAUGCACAGACACAGAGCCAAAGUUGGGGUCAAAGAUGAAAUGCACUCAAAGCGCAGAAAAAAAGAGAGCCAGGAAAAAAAUAUUAUAUAAAUUGUCAACAACUUGGAGGAAUUUUAAUAAGGCGGAAAAAUAUAUACAUUGCCAUCUUAGAUAUUUGCAAAUGAUGUAUUAUUAUAAACACUUUCAAAAAUAAACAAAUCGAAUAUA